CGUGAUUGGUCCUUCUGGAUACAAACUGAAAUUUAAAAAACGACAAGUGAAGCUCCUGAAGUAGUUACACCGCGCCUUCCCUUUUACGUGUCUUAGCCGUUUUAAACGCAUAGCUGCACGUUUGCUUGGUUCUCCGUUGCACUGAUUUUGGAAAGACUCGCUUCGUCUUAGGUUACAGCUCGCUGGCGUAACCUAUAGCAGUAAAAAGAUAUGCAUGAAGCAGACGUUUAUGCGAACUGCAUCUUCAAUGCGCGAUGUGGACACGGUCUCCGGUUUGCCGGCGAGAUGCAACAUCUGGACAAGGUACAAGGAGGAAGCCAAGGCGGCCUUUGAGUUCGACUUUUCGCGUCUCUCGAGCGAGGAGCUGUACAGAAGCUUCAAUAAAGGCAAGGAUUCCGAGGGAGAGCUAGGGUGUGAGGGGACGGCGGGCGAAAGGAAGAAUUCGCAUCACACAUAUAGUGCCCAUGUUACCGCGGGCAGGAGAGCUGAACUGGAUUCGAUCAGUUGACUCAACAGGAAAUGGACUUCACUGUAACACGAUUUCUUGGGCAGCUCUGCAUCGCUGCGGACGUAUGAACGACGUCCGGACAAAUUAGCUCCUGCUACGAGUCUAUUGCCAUUGCCAUUUCUGUUACAGAUAUUGGCUGUGCUCUUACGGCCUGAUCGAUGAAAAGGCCGCACCGAACAACAAAAACAAAUGGAGAUGGAGACACCGCGCUGUGGUCCUCUUGCUGCUUCUGAGCAAAAGUCAAACAUAGGGCCCUGAGGACCAUCCUUACCUGCACCCGAUGGCACGCGGUGUGCGGUUCCUGCCCACAUUGCCGUGAAGUUGUUGGAAAUCCAGUGGGUUUACAACUUUGUGCCAUCUGUUGCCUCCUCACGUGAGAAACGUUUUUGUUGCGCUUGUGGUGGUUGUCGUAUAUCGAUGUACCCAUCCCUACCGUGCCCAGCUUAAUUUUUGGCCCAACAUGCGGAUCAAGCAGUCAGCUAUUUCAGCCUGUGGCAGCUCGCUUCAUUUUGCUAAGGCUACGAAUGCCCUUAAGGGUUAAAAUUGUACACACGCGUUGACUAGUGAAGUCUGGUAGUCAUGCAGCUCCAGUGUUACUGCGCAUCCGUCAGCCAUGAGAGUUGUGGAUCUGCUGAAAGGGUUAGGGUUCAAGGGCCCACACGAGCCACGGAAACAGCAUGUGCGACUGAUGGAUCUGGGUGCUGAGCUUUGAAGUCGACUGAAGCGAGCUUGCGCGCUGCAACGUAAGGGACGGGCGGUGAGAGGAGGGAAAGAGCAGGAACCGCGUAUGCAGGUCAAUCGACGUCUUUCCACAGGAAUCAGGUCGCCAGCAUGUACAGGGGGUCGUGGCGUCGCUGCCUUGGCUUGGUGAAGCCCUUUCCGGUAAUGGGCUUGUGGGUCCACGGCGUUGGGCCCGCGGCAAGCGGAUUGUACAUUACAGCAAAGGUGGGCAUGGCGCUGAGAAUUAGACAUAUGCUUAUGGUGCUGACCAAUCAAUCCUCUGAUGCCGCGAAGCGGGCCUACUUUGCAUUGAAUGUUGAAACGUUAACGGUACGUAGCAAAAUCUCUCCGUCAGCUAACGUGCGGAUCUAAGCAAUGCUCCUAGGCAAUCCUUGCGGCGUUGUAGGGUUGCAGUAAUGCGCUUUCUACUCCAUUAAAAACGCAUCGAGAUAUGCAAGACACUAUGGACGAGGUGAAAAUACGGCAUUACUACCCCCACGGAAUCCAUGCAGGUUACAUCGUCCCUUACCGGCAGAGUCAGUACGCCAUCAUGCAUUUAACUGUUGCCACGUGUUUCGUUUCACCUCCGUGAUUGGUCCUUCUGGAUACAAACUGAAAUUUAAAAAACGACAAGUGAAGCUCCUGAAGUAGUUACACCGCGCCUUCCCUUUUACGUGUCUUAGCCGUUUUAAACGCAUAGCUGCACGUUUGCUUGGUUCUCCGUUGCACUGAUUUUGGAAAGACUCGCUUCGUCUUAGGUUACAGCUCGCUGGCGUAACCUAUAGCAGUAAAAAGAUAUGCAUGAAGCAGACGUUUAUGCGAACUGCAUCUUCAAUGCGCGAUGUGGACACGGUCUCCGGUUUGCCGGCGAGAUGCAACAUCUGGACAAGGUACAAGGAGGAAGCCAAGGCGGCCUUUGAGUUCGACUUUUCGCGUCUCUCGAGCGAGGAGCUGUACAGAAGCUUCAAUAAAGGCAAGGAUUCCGAGGGAGAGCUAGGGUGUGAGGGGACGGCGGGCGAAAGGAAGAAUUCGCAUCACACAUAUAGUGCCCAUGUUACCGCGGGCAGGAGAGCUGAACUGGAUUCGAUCAGUUGACUCAACAGGAAAUGGACUUCACUGUAACACGAUUUCUUGGGCA
rnacentral:lncRNA from 1 species